GACGAACGCUGGCGGCGUGCUUAACACAUGCAAGUCGAACGAUGAAGCCUAGCUUGCUAGGUGGAUUAGUGGCGAACGGGUGAGUAAUACGUGAGUGACCUACCUUUGACUCUGGGAUAAGCCUGGGAAACUGGGUCUAAUACCGGAUACGACCAAUCUCCGCAUGGGGUGUUGGUGGAAAGCGUUAUGGAGUGGUUUUAGAUGGGCUCACGGCCUAUCAGCUUGUUGGUGAGGUAAUGGCUUACCAAGGCGACGACGGGUAGCCGGCCUGAGAGGGUGACCGGCCACACUGGGACUGAGACACGGCCCAGACUCUUACGGGAGGCAGCAGUGGGGAAUAUUGCACAAUGGGCGCAAGCCUGAUGCAGCGACGCCGCGUGAGGGAUGACGGCCUUCGGGUUGUAAACCUCUGUUAGCAUCGAAGAAGCGAAAGUGACGGUAGGUGCAGAGAAAGCGCCGGCUAACUACGUG
rnacentral:rRNA from 1 species